GAUGAACGCUGGCGGCGUGCCUAACACAUGCAAGUCGAGCGGAGAUUUCCGGAGUACUUGUACAAAGGAGAUCUUAGCGGCGGACGGGUGAGUAACACGUGAGCAAUCUGCCUUUCACAGGGGAAUAACACUGGGAAACCAGUGCUAAUACCGCAUGAUGUCCAUGCCUGGCAUCGGGGAUGGACCAAAGGAGUAAUCCGGUGAAAGAUGAGCUCGCGUCCGAUUAGGUAGUUGGUGAGGUAACGGCCCACCAAGCCUACGAUCGGUAGCCGGACUGAGAGGUUGAACGGCCACAUUGGGACUGAGACACGGCCCAGACUCCUACGGGAGGCAGCAGUGGGGAAUAUUGGGCAAUGGGGGAAACCCUGACCCAGCAACGCCGCGUGAAGGAUGAAGGCUUUCGGGUUGUAAACUUCUUUGAUCAGGGACGAAACAAUGACGGUACCUGAGGAACAAGCCACGGCUAACUACGUGCCAGCCGCCGCUGUAAUAC
rnacentral:rRNA from 1 species